GAUGAACGCUGGCGGCGUGCCUAAUACAUGCAAGUCGAGCGAACGGAUGAGAAGCUUGCUUCUCUGAUGUUAGCGGCGGACGGGUGAGUAACACGUGGAUAACCUACCUAUAAGACUGGGAUAACUUCGGGAAACCGGAGCUAAUACCGGAUAAUAUUUUGAACCGCAUGGUUCAAAAGUGAAAGACGGUCUUGCUGUCACUUAUAGAUGGAUCCGCGCUGCAUUAGCUGGUUGGUAAGGUAACGGCUUACCAAGGCAACGAUGCAUAGCCGACCUGAGAGGGUGAUCGGCCACACUGGAACUGAGACACGGUCCAGACUCCUACGGGAGGCAGCAGUAGGGAAUCUUCCGCAAUGGGCGAAAGCCUGACGGAGCAACGCCGCGUGAGUGAUGAAGGUCUUCGGAUCGUAAAACUCUGUUAUUAGGGAAGAACAUAUGUGUAAGUAACUGUGCACAUCUUGACGGUACCUAAUCAGAAAGCCACGGCUAACUACGUGCCAGCAGCCGCGGUAAUACGUAGGUGGCAAGCGUUAUCCGGAAUUAUUGGGCGUAAAGCGCGCGUAGGCGGUUUUUUAAGUCUGAUGUGAAAGCCCACGGCUCAACCGUGGAGGGUCAUUGGAAACUGGAAAACUUGAGUGCAGAAGAGGAAAGUGGAAUUCCAUGUGUAGCGGUGAAAUGCGCAGAGAUAUGGAGGAACACCAGUGGCGAAGGCGACUUUCUGGUCUGUAACUGACGCUGAUGUGCGAAAGCGUGGGGAUCAAACAGG
rnacentral:rRNA from 1 species